rnacentral:rRNA from 1 species
AGAAUCAACGCUGGCGGCGUGCCUAACACAUGCAAGUCGAACGAGAAAGUGGAGCAAUCCAUGAGUAAAGUAGGCGACCGGGUGAGUAACACGUGACUAACCUACCUUCGAGUGGGGGAUAACCUCGGGAAACCGAGGCUAAUACCGCAUAACAUUGCAAGAUCAAAGCAGCAAUGCGCUGGAAGAGGGGGUCGCGGCUGAUUAGCUAGUUGGCGGGGUAACGGCCCACCAAGGCGAAGAUCGGUA